AUUGAACGCUGGCGGCAUGCUUUACACAUGCAAGUCGAACGGUAACAGGGCCUUCGGGUGCUGACGAGUGGCGAACGGGUGAGUAAUGCAUCGGAACGUGCCCAGUCGUGGGGGAUAACGUAGCGAAAGUUACGCUAAUACCGCAUAAGCCCUGAGGGGGAAAGUGGGGGACCGCAAGGCCUCACGCGACUGGAGCGGCCGAUGUCAGAUUAGCUAGUUGGUGGGGUAAAGGCCCACCAAGGCGACGAUCUGUAGCGGGUCUGAGAGGAUGAUCCGCCACACUGGGACUGAGACACGGCCCAGACUCCUACGGGAGGCAGCAGUGGGGAAUUUUGGACAAUGGGCGCAAGCCUGAUCCAGCCAUGCCGCGUGCGGGACGAAGGCCUUCGGGUUGUAAACCGCUUUCAGCCGGAAAGAAAUCGCUGUUUUUAAUACGGACAGUGGAUGACGUAC
rnacentral:rRNA from 1 species